UUUUUUUUUUUUUUUUUUUGACCACAUCCUUGACACAUGGAGUUCGAGAAAAUAUCGAUUGAAAGGUUGGCUAACCUUCAGCUGUGUCACUCAGACAGGUCUGUCCGUUUCUCUGGCAGGGUCCCCCAGCUGUGAAUUGGUGGUGCCGGCCUCUGGGUUGAAAUGAGACUUGUAUGUUGGAAGACAUCUAGAGCCAUGUGGAGUGCAAGCAGGCACAGAGUAAUGAUCUCUCAUUUCAGCUGGUCAUGUUUACCUGCUUUGCUGGUUCCCAGGGACCCAUGUUAGGGAUGGUGAGACUCCAGAGAGGAAACCCUCAAGGGGAGUGAGGCGUUUUGUAACCUUCCUCCACUGACUCCGCAAUGCAGAAGGUGACCCUCCAUGAGAAGACGGAAUUUUGUCAAAUUGGAAACUCCAAAUAGCAGUAGAAGUUUGCAGAGAAUUAGCCUGCAGUGGUUUUCAAAUUGUCAUGUGUGGCAGAAUCACCUGGGGAGUUUGUUAAAAAGCAAUCUCUGGGGACCCACCUGCAGUUCUCACUGAACCGACCUGGUGUUGGGGCCAGGCAUUGCUGUGUCCAACAGGUGCUUCAGUGGAUUUUGAUGCAGUGGUCCCUGGACCACCUUUGGAGAUAGUUAUCUGAAGGAAUCUUUUCUCUGUGACUUUCCAGCUUAACUGGAUACUGUCUGGUAAACAUCUGGAAAGGUAAUACUGUCAGUAGACAGGACUAAUGGUUCAGAGAAUGCUUGGCAUAGAGGAAGGAGCCUUGUCUGGGUUUCUUUAUGGCCAGUCCAUCAUUUACCACUUUUCUGGCCCUAGGAAAUUAUGUAAAAUUUGAAAGGUUAAGAACGUAGGAUUAAGGGUUAGUUUUCUUAUCUGUUAAAUAGGCGUGAUAGUAAUCACGUAGCGUAACGGUCAAGAGUAUGAAAUGAAUGUCUCGUGAAAAUAUCUUUAAUAGAUCUUCAGUUGGAGUUAGUAUUCUUUCCUUAUGAUUGAGAAUAGAAAAAUGCAGUGACAUCAGUGAAGAAGAGAUGCUUCUAUAAGCAAAUGUGACUCUACCAAUCAAAAUCAUACUGAGUUUUUUGGGUCUUAAAGAUACAUUUUUAAGAUACUAUGAGGUUCUUAACUUUGAUAUAGGGGCAACAAAACAAAACAUUUAAGUUGCGUCAGUUUCUUAGGCUCCAAAGCUAAAUUGGAGAGGGUGCCCGUAGUCUUGGGAGCCACAGCUGCAGCCUAGCCUGAGUCUUAAGAAGCUUUCCUGACAGCAUGGCCCUGUCCUGGUAGAGAGCCAGCGAGCCCAAAGACUAAUCUCACCCCCAGCAGACAUUGCUUUUUCUCUCUCUCCGUGUACCUUCAGACGUGCAUCCUGGAGUCACCUCUAAGAGCGUUAAGACAGUAUAUUGCAAAGGUCAAGGAUGGGAUAUAUGAAUAUUAGUACACUAAAUUUCAUAACUUCGUUUUCUCCUCAGUUUCUAGCAAAAAUGGUCCUCUGAAGCAGUCACUGGUUUUAUAGGUUUACCAUCAUACCCAUUAUUUCUGUCUUUUUUGUUUGUUUGUUUUUUCGGCCUGCACCCGAGGCAUAUGGAGGUUCCCAGGCUAGGGGUCUAGUCAGAGCUGAAGCUGCCGACCUAUACCACAACCACAGCAACACCAGAUCCCAGACACGUCUGCGACCUACACUGCUGCUCACGGCAACGCUGGCUCCUUAACCCAGUGAGUGGGGCUAGGGAUCGAACCCGAGUCCUCAUGGAUCUUAGUUGGGUUUGUAACCUACUGAGCCCCUAUGGAAACUCCCAUACCUGUUAGUUCUACAUAUUCUUGUAUAAGGGUUGGAUUUCAACUUGGUGAUCUCCCUGCCUGAGGCUUCUCCUGGCUAGAAUCGUAACCUCUCUUACCCUGGUCCUGUUAGUGCUGAAGAGCUUGUGUUGCUGGUCAGAUGAUGGACGUCCCCGCCGCCUUCCCCCCACAACUGAUUUCCACCUCCCUGUCUCAGUGACUGUCUUACUGGCCCCCCAGGAUGGAUCCACGUCUUCUCCACUCCGACCAGCUUCCAUUCAAGUUCUCUUUUCCAAACGAGUCCAGUUCACAUGUCACCCAGCUUAAAAAAAUGAGUGAAACAAAGCAAACCACCCCUGUCUUCUGACUCAGCUGCCUCCCCAAGCUCACUGCCAGUGUUUCUUCUUAACUGCUUGGCCACCAGCCAGACGUCUUUGAAAUUAUGUUUGUUUUCCGGACAGGAUACUCAUUUGGCAAGAAUGAUAGUGAAUAUUUAAAGACUCAGCAGCAUGUACCAAACAACACAUCUAAACUGAAAAGGCUGAUGAUGUGACACCUUGAGCCUUUGUAAAGUUUUCUUUCUUGGUCAAUAUCUAUCAGUUUGUUUAUUCCACAGAUACUUAAAGGAGUGCUUCUUUCAUACCUGGUACUUUGCUUGGCACUACGGUUAUAGUGAUGAAUAGGACAAGCAAGGCCUCUGCUCUCCUGCACCCUGUAUUUGAAGCUGGGGGACCAGCAGUAAACACAUAAAUACAGUUUCAAGUAGAUGAAUGCUGGAGGCAGGCCCAGGUCACAGUGUCAGUGGGUAUAAAGGGCUACUUCGGGUACUGUCAUUUGGGGAUGUUUAACGUUUUAUUAAGUCCUUCCUUGUUUGCACCCCUCCUCUGUAAGUGUGGUAUCAACGCUGGGUUAUUAGUGGCACCAAGCCCAUACGGCAUCUUCAAUUAACUGUGUGUCCUUGGGCCUCGUACAGAACCUUGCCAGGGUCCUAUGUGAACUGGGGAACAAAUAGCUUUGACACCCAUCAGCCCUCUUUCCUGAACCUUAACCUUGCUUGUGAUACAAAUUUUUCUUAGAAUGUACACUCUCGUCUUUCUCCUUGACGUUUGUACCAUUCCACUCAGAUGUGGACUUAGCUGUAACCAGUAAGUUAAUGAAACUUGUACUUAAUUUUAAAUUCAUAAUUUUAUCAUCUUUUUCUUAAAGAAGUUUCCCCAAAUUUGUAAAAGCAUCAUUUUACGAAAUCUGCACCUGCCUCUGAUCUCAACCUACAUUAAAUUUUCAGUUUUCUCAAUUCGGACAGCAGCUCUCAUUAACCAGAACCCAGAACUUGGCUACGCCCCAACUCAUCUUCUCAUGGGCACACGAGAGUCACGUCCAAAGGCUUGGAUUUGUUUAUGAUUUGACUAAAAAGUCACUAGACCACUCAGGGACAUAAAUUCAUACGUUAAAGUGUAGAACAACGUUCUCUGUGAGUUACUGUGUUGAUCCAAUGGUGUGGUUGCUGUGAAAUACCUUUUCAAAUUGUAAGAUGCUUGUGAUAAUCAUCACAGUGUUUUUAGAGAGUUAGGAUGGCACAUAUUUAGGGGAAGGAACUUCUUUGAUUUCUUGCAUCUCUGCUCCCAUCGUUGUGUACCUUCAUCCCUUCUCCUGACAGUGCAGUACGCCCUGAGGACUAAGUGCCAGCACCGUGCGGCUAUCAGCAAUAGAGCGGGAAGCCAAAUGAACAGUGGGCACUGGCCUGAGCUCCCUCUUGUCCAGGGUACAGAGAUGUCACUGCCUGCUUGGCAGUCACAGUCCACACUGAGAGGUGCUGUGAUGGGGCACGGGGGCUCCAAGAAGCACAGGAAGCUCACCUCACCAGGCUGGGGUGUGGUCCUGGGAGGAGAGGGAGUGAGAUCUAACCUGGGACCUGAACCGUGGCUGAGAGUGGGCACAUGGUGCAGAAGAAGGUCCAGUGUGGGUUAGGGAGGGGUGUGCCGGGACUGACCUGAAGAUACAUGGGCCAAGGGGCAGGGGCUUCAUCGGUUCAAAUAGUUGAAAGAAAUGGCACGUGGCUGAGGAGUAAGAUUGGAUUGGGGGGAGGGGGGAUCUUGGGGCAGGGAUGGUGGCGCAGAGGUCUGCAGGGUCUGUGGGACAUCCAGGAAGAGGUGCCCGGGAGCCUUCCCACAGGAUGCCAUAAGCCAGAGGGGUCCAGCUUCAAAAAUCAAGGCUCAUACUCAUUGCAGUAGGAGGCUGUGAAGGCCGUGGGAGGCGAGGUCCGAGAGGGGGCACACGACGGGAGUCUGCAGGAUGGGAGAGUGGAAAGAGGGAAGGGGGGCACACUGGGAACCGCAUUCUGGAAGGAGCAGCACCCAGAGUUCCUGGGCACCUGGGCCCUUCUGUGCCGGAAACCGCUUGGAUUCAGCUGCCUGAUGUUGGUGACCUUGCGGCAAGGGGCUUAAGGCGGACCAGCCUCCCUCAUGGGCAUCUCAUUCUUCUGCUGCCUCACUUUCCUUUGGUCCUGAGGAUGGAGUGAACCUGGGUGGGUGGGGGGCAUGAGAGGAGAGUUGGUCAUGGGGAAGGCGACACCCUCGGCAGGGACUUACAGAUACCCAGGGAAAAGCGGGGCGCGCCACUGCUCUCCCACAUGUAAGUGAGGUAUGAAAUAUGUACGUAUUUAUAAUAUAUGAGAUCCUUUUAUCCACGUUUUUUUAAAGAAGUAUGUAGAGAAGCAAAGGUGACUUUGCUAAAAAUACCUCCCUCCUGUGUAAAUGCAGGGCUGUAUUUAAAACGGUGACAGGCAGCUUAGUUUAAAGCACUGAAGAGAGGUUUGCCUUAUUUUCUUAGAUGCAGCCCUUUUCUGUAGAUCCUAAAAGGCGCUAAUGUGUAGUUUCGGAAUGCCAGGCAAGCGACGACAGCUUUUUCAUUCCCUUAAUUUGUCCCCUUUCUCCUCAUAACGGAAACGAUUCCGGCAGUGGUAAAACAGUCUCGUGUUCUCGUGUGAACGGAAGUCCUGGUGCUGCCUUGUCUGUUACACAGACGCAUGUCAGGCUGAGCCUCAGGUGGUCAUGAGACCAGAGGAUGCUCAGAUGAUGGGGUUGAAGAUUCUUUCUAAAAAGUGGUGUGAACGCCUUGGGAAAGACAAAAGAAAAAAAAAAUAGUGUGAAGAAUUUCUGAUACAUGGAAAGAUGGGAUCACAAUAUAAUGACCCCCAGAGCCAACAUUCACUUUAAUGAAACGUGACCCCACAUUGUGUAAUCUCCCCAAGUUUUCCUUCACACUUGUGCCUCCCUCCCUCUUAGAAGCAGCCGUGCUUUGGAAUUUGUGGAAUUUGUGUUUAUCGAAACCAUAGCAUCUUUUUAUUCUCUCCCCCAGUAAUAUUAAAUUAUGCGAGGUGUGGUUCUCACCGUGUAAGUAGCUGUAAACAUCGUGCUGUGUGUCCUUCUGCAGCUUGCUUUGUUUACCCAGCCAUGCUCAAGGCGCCUGUGUAGCCCACGGUGUAGUCCUUAAGCUUGAAAACCGGGUACAGAACUAUGGUUCACAGCUUCCUCCCCCCGGCUUUAGACAGGCUCAUGCAUCCCACUUCAGGUCAUGGUACAGCUGCCCCUGUAUCCUCUGGUUCUGUAUCCCUGGAUUCAACCAAGCAUGUAUUGAAAAAUAUUAAAAAAUUAAAAAACCCAGAAAGUUCCAAAAAGCAGAACUUGAAUUUGCCCCCGGCAACUAUUUACAGAGCAUUUCCAUUGCAUUUAGGUAUUGUAAGUAAGCCAAGGAUGAUUUCAAGUUUAUGGGAGAAUUGCAGUGGGUUGUAUGGAAACACUAGCCUUUUUAUUGGCGGAACUUGAGCCUUUGCGUGGAUUUUGGUAUCUGAAGAGGGUCCUGGAACCAUGGGAAGCAUGACCCUGAGCCUGGGACCUUCUCCCCUAAGAGAUUCACACAGCGUGCUCCUUGCACCUAACCCCCCUCUCUCCCUGCCACCCCUCAGCCCACCCAACACCGUUCCCCUGCCCAACUGACAUUUCUUUGUAUCACUACGUAUUUUACUUAUUUAUGUUCAUUGCGUGCCUCCCCCCACCCCCAACCAGAAUAUCAGAUUCAUGGGGACAGGACUCUGUUUUGUUCACUGUGGACCCCCACCUCUUAGAACAGUGCUAGACACAUAAUAGCUGCUCACUAAACAGUUAAAUUCAGGAAGCAUUGAAAAUAAAACGUAAACUUACAAAGGAGAGUUCUCCAUCCAUCUUUAGCACUUCAUUUAGUGGAUGUGGUUUUGUUCAAAAUGAUUUAACGUUGCAUUAUAGCUAGUUAUAACCUUAAGACAUGGGGCUCCCUGAUGAGAAAUGCUUGUCUGUGUGGCCUGAGGGUCUUGCUGGGAUGCGCAGGAGGUGGUGUGUGUGCCAGGUCAAAACCUGCCUUCGCUGAGCGCUGAGUUCAGCCGUGCUUCCCAGGGUGACAGGUUCCAAUCAUUUUCAAUUAAUUAGGACCUGGGAUUCUUCAUGCUCAUUAGAGUGUAGUUGACCUUUCCCCCGCCCCCAGAAUUAACACUUCACAGUGUCAGCACCUUCCCAGACAUGGGAUGUGGCCGGCCCUCUUCUUGCCUUUCCAUUUUUAGCACCGUCUAAGGUAAACAGGUGUGUUUUUUUUUUUUUUCUUUCCUCACCAAUGAAUAUUCCAUUUUCUUGUAAUUUGGAAAAUAAUGUGUGCGCUUCUAAUUUUCACUCUCUGUAUUCAGUGCUGAGAAAAUCAAAGUAUGGUUGGUUUUCAAUCCUGAGCUCUUUCAGUAAACAUCAAGGAGAUAAGUGAGGUUUUGAUUAGGUGUGCAUUCUAAUCAAAGACAAAUGAAUGAUAAUUUUUCACUCGGGCUCCUCUAGAAAAUUAUCCUGAUGUAUAAGGGUAGACAGUGGGUUAUCCUCCUGGCCAAAUCAUUUAUAACUUGGUUUUGAAGAAUUUCUUAUCCAUAAGAAAAUUUUCAUGGCUGCUCUUUUCUGUUUCUUGUUUGUUUUUUGUCUUGUUUUUAUUAAAGUACGGUUGAUUUACAAUGCUGUGCCAAUUUCAGCUGUACAGCACAGUGACCCAGAGACACGCGCGUACACACACACACACACUCUGUACUGUAGGACCACAUUGCUUAUCCAUUCUUAAUGUCUGUUUCUUUAUAGAAAAUUAAACUUUUCUCUGAAUCUGAGUAUCAUGUCUUAACUUCAGGAGGGUGGAGAUCUGGAAUUUCUCUUUAGCUCCAGGUAGUCAGGAAGCACUGGUGAAAAUGAAUAGUCUCUCUUCAUUGAUGAAGUUGUUUUUAGUUAUGCUUUCUUCUCGGUGUCAGUGGUGACUUGUUCUUGGAUGAGCCUUUGGGAUCAGUGUUAAGAGUUGAAUGUGUCUGGUUGGCAAAGGGUGUUGAUUGAGCGGUAAAGAAGGUAUCCACUUAGAUUUUCUCUAAUAACUGAAGAUCCCGGAGGCCUGAGGUGCCAUCGUCUUUCCUUGUAAAUUGCUCCAGUGCGUGACCUGCACCAAUAGUUCUGACCAAGAUGUGCAGGCGCCCCACCUUUUGGGAUCCAUCUAUCUGUAGCUUCUCUGGUUUUAGGAGGUCUGAUAACAACCAUUAUUCAAUUUGAAGCCAUUAUUGCUCAGCCUAGCCAGUCAGGAUUCUGUCUCAGGCCCAGAUCAGCAGAUUUGAUGUUCUAAAGCUCCUUUUGAAGAGUCUGUAAUGACGGAAAUAAUUGUUUUUAUGGCUUUCUAGUGAAAUGGAAUUGCCCGAUGCAGUCUUGUUUCUUGGCGUUCUUUUAUCUGCUUCUGAAAAGAGGAUGAGGUGGAAAAAUAUUUCAGUGAAAUAUCAGCAGCAUUACCAUCCUCAUAAACGUUAAAUGUUCAUUAGGGAGUUCCUGUUGUGGUUCAGCGGGUUAUAAACCCACCCAGUAGCCAUGAGGACAUAGGUUUGAUCCCUGGCCUUGCUCAGUGGAUUAGGAUGUGGCGUUGCCAUGAGCUGUAGUGUACGUCGCAGAUGUGGCUCUGAUCUGGUGUUGCUGUGGCUGUGGUGUAGGCCAGCAGCUGCAGCUCUGAUCCGACCCCUAGCCUGGAAACUUACAUAUACCUCGGGUGUGACCCUAUGUGCACUGACUGUUUCUCCUAUAGAAGGUAUCCUCUUCAAAGAUGUAUGAAGGACCACGUACUGACUUUAAUGCAUCGGCCUGAUAAAGGAAAGAUGACUGAGUGGAAUUGAGGCUGUCUAUCAGGUGAGGGAUUCUGUGAUAACAGAGGAGCUAGGAGGCCUGUGCCUUCUGAGAUCAUUCUCCUGGGAGUUCCCACUGUGGCUCAGUAUGAACCUGACUACUUUCCAUGAGGACGCAGGUUUGAUCCCUGGCCUUGCUCAGUGGGUUAAGGAUCCGGCGUUGCCACGAACUGUGGUGUAGGUCGAAGAUAUGGCUCAGAUCUAGUGUUGCUGUGGCUGUGGUAGCUCCAGCAGCAGCUGUAGCUCGGAUUAGAUCCCUAGCCUGGGAGCCUUCAUAUGC
rnacentral:lncRNA from 1 species